rnacentral:rRNA from 1 species
AUUGAACGCUGGCGGCAGGCCUAACACAUGCAAGUCGAACGAGUGGCGGACGGGUGAGUAAUGUCUGGGAAACUUCCCGAUGGAGGGGGAUAACUACUGGAAACGGUAGCUAAUACCGCAUACUAUCGGAUGUGCCCAGCUGGGCUUAGCUAGUAGGUGGGGUAACGGCUCACCUGGGCGACGAUCCCUAGCUGGUCUGAGAGGAUGACCGUCCACACUGGAACUGAGACACGCUCCAGACUCCUACGGGAGGCAGCAGUGGGAAAUAUUGCACAAUGGGCGCAAGCCUGAUGCAGCCAUGCCUCGUGUAGGAAGAAGGCCUUCGGGUUGUAAAGUACUUUCAGCGAGGAGGCGUUACUCGCAGAAGAAGCACCGGCUAACUCCGUGCCAGCAGCCGCGGUAAUUC